rnacentral:rRNA from 1 species
UACGUAGGUGGCAAGCGUUGUCCGGAUUUACUGGGCGUAAAGAGCGCGCAGGCGGUCGUUCAAGUCGCGUGUGAAAGCCCCCGGCUCAACUGGGGAGGGUCACGCGAUACUGAUCGACUCGAAGGCAGGAGAGGGUAGUGGAAUUCCUGGUGUAGCGGUGAAAUGCGCAGAUAUCAGGAGGAACACCGGUGGCGAAGGCGGCUUGCUGGGCCAGUUCUGACGCUGAGGAGCGAAAGCGUGGGGAGCGAACAGG